rnacentral:rRNA from 1 species
GCCGCAUGCAGGUAAACGGGUGGCGUCAAGCUGCGAGCCCGGAGGAUUCAGCUGACUGGGAUGUAGUGUACGCGCGCCUGGUGCGUCGAGAGGCCGGAGUAAGAUGUUUGGCGGUCCACUCCUCUCUCGGGAGUGGGGCGCGAUCGAUGUGCGCUUGCGUAUGUCGGUUGUCGCUAUGCAUGCCGGGUGGGUGCCGGAGCAUGCCGCUCGUCUGUUGGGCCACCUAGUCAGUGCAUUUUCUCCGUGGUGAACACCACGACCCGGUGGGACUGCCAGUCUGCUGCGAGCAAGUCGUGUCCUCCUGAUCUCCUUUGUGUGUUGGGUGGGCGCGAUCGCAGGCGGAAUGGGUGAACGGCGCAGUGGUACCUCGGUGCUGCCGCGUGUUAUCGUGCACUCUCCGUUGUAAGCGGUUAGUGGGUUAGUGCUGUGACUACUUGCCCUCUGAUCGGCGGCUCGUAGUGGUGAAAGUAACUGUGCAGGGCACCGGAGUUCUCCACCUCAUUCAAUAUGGUACUCGGCACGCACGUCAUAGGUGCUGUUGAAUCGGGAUGCGCCGCUGUCUGCCUAGUGUUGGGCCUGACUGUCGUGUUGCCUGCGCAAAGUGGGUCCGGCGGUGGCUUCGAUGCUGGGCAGCUCUGCAGUGUGUUGCGUGUCUCGGGUGUCUGUAGUGCCGGGGGUGAAAUAGUCAGUGGUGCUGUGGUAGACGAGCUACCCGACCCGUCUUGAAACACGGACCAAGGAGUUUAACAUGUGUGCGAGUCAAAGGGUCCUACGAAACCCCUAGGCGCAGUGAAAGUGAAGUUCAUGCUGCACUUCUGCACAUACGCGGUGCAGCGUGGCGAGGUGAGAUCUCGUUGUACUCAUGACACACGCCGUAGACCUCUCUACUGGGCACUAUAACUGGGGCAACGAGCGCAUCACCGGCCCGUCUCAUGAUGUGGUCAUGGGUGUACUUGCGCGUGGAGUGGCAACACAAAACGCGUAAAGCCUGUGCGUCAUCGGGGCGGAGCAUGAGCACACACGUUGAGACCCGAAAGAUGGUGAACUAUGCUUGCGUAGGUUGAAGCCAGAGGAAACUCUGGUGGAGGACCGUAGCGAUUCUGACGUGCAAAUCGAUCGUCAAACGUG